rnacentral:lncRNA from 1 species
GUGCAACCAACUUUCGCGGCUUACGAUUAAAAGAACACCCUGCACGGAGCAUGGAAGACCCGGGGGGUGCAACCAACUUUCGUGGCUUACGGUUAAGAGAACACUCUGCGCGGAGCAUGGAGGGCCUGGCCGGCGCAACCAACUUUCGCGGCUUACGAUUAAGUAGUAACCUCUGCGCGGAGCAUGGAAGGCCCGGGUGGCGCAACCAACUUUCGCGGCUUACGAUAG